CGCCCCCACCCCUCUUCUCUCUCUCUCUCUCUCUCUCUCUCUCUCUCUCUCUCUCUCUCUCUCUUCACCCCCACCCUCGCUCUCUCGCUUUUGCGUUCCUGUUCUGCAGCUCAGUCAAGUACAGCCGCCCUCGGAAGGAAAGUGCAAACCAGCCACGAGACAGAUCGGGCUUUGUUGCUAAUUUCCCAGGGUGAAAAUUUACAAGCCUGCGAGUGCAGUCAGCACAACCGCAUACAUAUGCUCCUCACAGACGCUGGGGGACAACCCCGGCACAGAAUGUGACCUCUGCAGGGAGUCGACUCCAGAAGGACCCCUACCUCCAGGACCGUCCAAAAGAACUCCUGCGAAAGAGCUCCGGAAGAAAAGGGUGGUAAUGACCUGUCACUGUAGAUUCAUGGACUGUGCCCUUGGGGUUGAGGAGAGGCCUACAUACACUACAAGGGAGGAGAAGAGUCUUGUCUUCCCCUUUUGCUCUGGCUGCUGCCUCAAGUGUCGCCCCAGUGCCAUGCCACUCUGCCUUGGAACCAGCUGAUUAUGGACUGAAACCUCCAAAAACUGGUUUUGAGCUGUUUCAGCACCAUUUGUUGAAGAUACCGUCCUUUUCCACCGCACUGAUCCUUUCUGGAAGAUAAUGUUUUAUAUUUGU